UUUGUAGCUGAGUAGGUAAUGGUCCUCAUUCUUAAAAAUUCUGUGAAGAUUUAAUGGUAAUGGUUGUCAAUAUUGUGAGUGACAAAUGCGCAUGCUGAUAAUUAUGAGGAAAACUGAUGACCUAGCACGCUGUAUGUGAAAGUUCCAAAACACAAAAAAACACAGUUUGACCUUUAAGUGCAAUUAAACUGAAGCUGCUGGACCCUUGCCCUUGAAAGAUGACAGUAUUUGUCCAACAAAGUGGCUCGAUGGAAUUCUGCUUCAUAUCCAGCAGUCAAGCAGCCACAUACUGUGUCAAUUAAACUGAAGCUGCUGGACCCUUGCCCUUGAAAGAUGACAGUAUUUGUCCAACAAAGUGGCUCGAUGGAAUUCUGCUUCAUAUCCAGCAGUCAAGCAGCCACAUACUGUGGUCUUUGGGUGUAAAUUACCGGCAUGCAGUGCAGAGGAAAAGGACAAGAUCAAUCAUCCUCACACCAAUAUGGAAAUGUUUGUUGACCAAUCAUUCACUUAUUGACAAGAAUCAAUUCUGAUUGAUUGAUUGAUUGAUAAUUCUUGUGAGAUA